rnacentral:rRNA from 1 species
GACGAACCGUGCGAACGUUGUUCGGAUUCACUGGGCUUAAAGGGCGCGUAGGCGGCUUGCCAAGUCAGGGGUGAAAUCGUUCGGCCCAACCGGACAAGGGCCCCUGAUACUGGUGAGCUCGAGGGGGGUAGGGGCAUGCGGAACUUCCGGUGGAGCGGUGAAAUGCGUAGAGUAUCGGAAGGAAGACGCCGGUGGCGAAAGCGGCGUGCUGGACCCCUCCUGACGCUGACGGCGCGAAAGCUAGGGGAGCAAACGGG